rnacentral:rRNA from 1 species
GAGACACGGCCCAGACUCCUACGGGAGCAGCAGUGGGGAAUUUUGGACAAUGGGCGCAAGCCUGAUCCAGCCAUGCCGCGUGCAGGAUGAAGGCCUUCGGGUUGUAAACUGCUUUUGUACGGAACGAAACGGCCUUUUCUAAUAAAGAGGGCUAAUGACGGUACCGUAAGAAUAAGCACCGGCUAACUACGUGCCAGCAGCCGCGGUAAUACGUAGGGUGCAAGCGUUAAUCGGAAUUACUGGGCGUAAAGCGUGCGCAGGCGGUUAUGUAAGACAGUUGUGAAAUCCCCGGGCUCAACCUGGGAACUGCAUCUGUGACUGCAUAGCUAGAGUACGGUAAGGGGGGAUGGAAUUCCGCGUGUAGCAGUGAAAUGCGUAGAUAUGCGGAGGAACACCGAUGGCGAAGGCAAUCCCCUGGACCUGUACUGACGCUCAUGCACGAAAGCGUGGGGAGCAAACAGGAUUAGAUACCCUGGUAGUCCACGCCCUAAACGAUGUCAACUGGGUUGGUUGGGUCUUCACUGACUCAGUAACGAAGCUAACGCGGUGAAGUUGACCGCCUGGGGGAGUACGGCCGCAAGGUUGAAACUCAAAGGGAAUUGACGGGGACCCGCACAAGCGGUGGAGAAAGGGGUUAAUUCAUGCAACGCGAAAAACCUUACCCACCUUUGACAUGUACGGAAUUCGCCAGAGAAUGGCUUAUGCUCGAAAAGAACCGUAACACAGGUGCUGGCAGGCUGUCGUCAGCUCUGUCGUGAAAGUUGGGGGUUAAUCCCCCAACCGAAGGCAACCCCUUGUCUUUAAUUGCUACAUUUCAAGUUGGGGCCC